rnacentral:ribozyme from 13 species
AAGAGGAAGAAGAAAUUGAAAAAAAGCUCCCUGGAUCGACAAUCUCCAUUCCCACUCCCUCUUUUUCUCUCUCUUCUUUGUUUUCUUCUGUCUCCCCUUUCUCUUUCA